rnacentral:rRNA from 1 species
UACAGAGGUGGCAAGCGUUGUUCGGAAUUACUGGGCGUAAAGGGCGCGUAGGCGGCUUGGUCAGUCCCGUGUGAAAUCCCUCGGCUCAACUGAGGAACUGCACGGGAAACUGCCUGGCUUGAGUUCGGGAGAGGGAAGCGGAAUUCCGGGUGUAGCGGUGAAAUGCGUAGAUAUCCGGAGGAACAUCGGUGGCGAAGGCGGCAUCCUGGACCGGUAUUGACGCUGAGGCGCGAAAGCCAGGGGAGCAAACGGG